AUGUGCACGCUCCGCUCAUCCAUUCUACACCUGUGCACAUUCUGUAGGUCGGUUCGAAUGGUUCUCUUUUUGGGGAACUGUUUGGCCUUCCUAUGUUUUAUUAUACAAACUCUGAGUUAAAGAAUGUAAUCUGCGUCUAACGCAUCUUAUACAACUUUCAGCAACGGAUCUCUUGGCUCUCGCAUCGAUGAAGAACGCAGCGAAAUGCGAUAAGUAAUGUGAAUUGCAGAAUUCAGUGAAUCAUCGAAUCUUUGAACGCACCUUGCGCUCCUUGGUAUUCCGAGGAGCAUGCCUGUUUGAGUGUCAUGGAAUUCUCAACUCUCUUACCUUUGCUGGUAAGCAGAGCUUGGAUUUGGAGGCUUCUGCUGGCUCUUACUGAGUCAGCUCCUCUUGAAUGCAUUAGCUUGAACCUUUGUGGAAUGGCUUUCGGUGUGAUAAUUGUCUACGCCGUUUGCUGUGAAGCUUAUACACCUUGGUGUGAGGAUCAGCUUCUAAUGGUCCUUCAGUGGACAAAUCUUUUGACCUCUGGCCUCAAAUCAGGUA
rnacentral:rRNA from 1 species